rnacentral:lncRNA from 1 species
UGCUUUUUUUUUUCCAAAAACAACCAUUUAAUACUCACAAUAUUUUUCUUAAAAGUUAUUUUCCCACCCACCGUUCCGUGGAUGGGCUAUUUGUAUACACGCACUGGCCUUUCCUGUCUUCUGAAUACUUUCUCCUAAUGGCUUCCUGGCUUCAAGGAGACGUUCUGCAAGUUAUCAAGAGUUGCGUGAGUAUGUGCAGCAUGAAUGUGGCUGUGUCAACACACAGCAGAAGAAGGCAUCCGAUCACUGGGAACUAGACUUACAGGACAGUAUCUUGAAGACGUGUACCUCUCGGUUUACCUCAAGGGUUCUCCCCAUUGGUUCUAUUAGAUACGUUUAUCACCUGCUGUGGUUCUUUAUAUAUAAAUGUUUCCUGGAACAAAAAAAGACUAUUUCUUCAUAUUCUUGAUAGAUAUUGGCAAAUUAUUUUCCAAAAGCCUUGUGCUAAUCUAUGUCCUUGAACACAUUUUACUUUGGAUAGUUACAGGGUUGGUGAUUAAAAUUAGCUUCUCUUCAUUCCCUUUUAUUAAUAAAAACCCUAAACGAUUUUUUAAAAUUUUUAUUCAA